CCUGAGGCCUCCCCAGCCCUGUAGAACUGUGAGUCAGUUGAACCUCUUUCUUUUAUAAAUUACCCAGUCUUGGGUAUGUCCUUACAGCAGCGUGAGAACAAAAUUCAGAGAUACUAAGAAUGUUAGGUUUAAAUAGAAUCUUAUUCUUGCAUAAGCCCAGAACAUCUCCAGUUCAAUCCUUCCCGGCUCCAGAGGCUGGCUUACUGGGGGACUGUUUGAGGAAUGGGUUGGGAUGCAGAUUCCUGGGACCCAACAGAGAUGCUUGACUCAGGGAUGGAUAUUUAAUAAGCUCUUCUCCCUGGUGCCUGGAGCAUAAUUAGGCUCGGGAGCUGUGACCUGGUCCUGGGUGUGGGGUAUACCACAGACAUCCUGCACA
rnacentral:lncRNA from 1 species